rnacentral:lncRNA from 1 species
UUUGAGUUAGCUUUUCAUGUUCUUCAUUUAUCAGUUUAACAUUUUAUCAUCUGCAUUAACAUUUGUCAUCAUCUAGCUUCUUGGAUAUUGUCAGCAAGUUUAAAUGUAGACAGUUCUAGGAUCGUAAUAGGUCCUUAUGCAUACCAUUUUGAUUACAAAUUACGUUAUCUAUGUGCAUUACCAUUACUUCUAACAUUGGUCACUGCUCUAAAAUGCUUUUUAACAAUUUGUGUGCAACCUUUAUGCUGAAAUUUUAUUCCAAAUAUCCCCAAUUACUAUUUUUUUACCCU